CAACAGAGUUUGAUCCUGGCUCAGGACGAACGCUGGCGGCGUGCUUAACACAUGCAAGUCGAACGAUGAUGCCCAAGCUUGCUUGGGUGGAUUAGUGGCGAACGGGUGAGUAACACGUGGGUGAUCUGCCCCGCACUUCGGGAUAAGCCUGGGAAACUGGGUCUAAUACCGGAUACGACCCCCUGGUAGGUCAGGGGGUGGAAAGAUUUAUCGGUGUGGGAUGAGCCUGCGGCCUAUCAGCUUGUUGGUGGGGUAAUGGCCUACCAAGGCGUCGACGGGUAGCCGGCCUGAGAGGGUGAUCGGCCACAUUGGGACUGAGACACGGCCCAGACUCCUACGGGAGGCAGCAGUGGGGAAUAUUGCACAAUGGGCGCAAGCCUGAUGCAGCGACGCCGCGUGGGGGAUGACGGCCUUCGGGUUGUAAACUCCUUUCGACAGGGACGAAGCGUUAAAGUGACGGUACCUGUAGAAGAAGCACCGGCUAACUACGUGCCAGCAGCCGCGGUAAUACGUAGGGUGCGAGCGUUGUCCGGAAUUACUGGGCGUAAAGAGCUCGUAGGUGGUUUGUCGCGUCGUCUGUGAAAUCCCGGGGCUUAACCUCGGGCGUGCAGGCGAUACGGGCAUAACUUGAGUGCUGUAGGGGAGACUGGAAUUCCUGGUGUAGCGGUGAAAUGCGCAGAUAUCAGGAGGAACACCAAUGGCGAAGGCAGGUCUCUGGGCAGUAACUGACGCUGAGGAGCGAAAGCAUGGGUAGCGAACAGGA
rnacentral:rRNA from 1 species